UUUAUUUCCAGAUCGCAACGGACGCGGGAAGGACCGACUCCGGAACGAGUGCAGGCGUCGCGGGAGUUGUUUAAUUGGAUCGCGACAGGGCACGAGCCGCACGAGACAAGGAUCGGCUGCGGAACGAGUGGCGUCGCGAGAGUUGUUUAAUUGAUCGCGACGGGCGCUAGACGGAUCGGCUGUGGAACGAGUGGCGUCGCGACUUAUUUAAUUGGUAAGUAGUUAUGCUUAGAAUA